GCGGCUGUAGCUCAGUGGAUAGAGUAUUGGCCUCCGAAGCCAAGGGUCACUGGUUCGAUCCCAGUCAGCCGCA
rnacentral:tRNA from 2 species